rnacentral:rRNA from 1 species
UACGGGGGGGGCAAGCGUUGUUCGGAAUUACUGGGCGUAAAGGGCGCGUAGGCGGCUUGCUAAGUCGGACGUGAAAUCCCCUGGCUCAACCCAGGGAACUGCGUCCGAUACUGGCGAGCUUGAAUCCGGGAGAGGGAUGCGGAAUUCCAGGUGUAGCGGUGAAAUGCGUAGAUAUCUGGAGGAACACCGGUGGCGAAGGCGGCAUCCUGGACCGGUAUUGACGCUGAGGCGCGAAAGCCAGGGGAGCAAACGGG